GCCAACACCACUUAUAACCUAAGUCAUACUAUGCCUUAGGAAAUUCCAACACGGAAUUAUGCAGCCUGCAGAGAAGGGAGACUGUUAAUCAAGGGCAGAUUUUCAUUUUUUAAAAGGAGGGGUGGAAACAUUUCUAGUGGGGUGCAAGUGGCACUACUGAGCGAGCUUCGGCAGGGGUUAGGCGUUAGGGUUAACGAUUUUUAUACAAAAUAGGAGGGGUGAAGCGACGUUUUGGUGGGGUUGAACACUUUAUAUGAGGGGUUAGAGAGAUUCUAGGGGCCCAGUAAAUCCACCCAUGCUGUAAAUUAAAUUGAGUGUCAGAUAUACUCUCCCCUUGACAAGUACAGUAAAAUCACCUGGCAUUAGGCAAAGAAUGGUACAUUGGAAGAAGGGUUUAUAGAUCAGGUGAUUAUGAUGGACACCAAUCACACUGGUGUAACAGGAAAUAUGCCCCCCCCCCCCAAAAAAAAAAAAAAAACCCAACAAAUAUAUGCUGCUCUGGGCCAAAAUUCGUAGGAAAUAUGGCUACCCAUUUGAAAAAACCACACCUCCCCUUACUUAUCCAUAGGCAUAUAUAUUUAUUUGUUUUCAG